GCCUCGGUGGUCUAAAGGUUUGAGACGUUUGCAUGGAAUGCUAGAGAUCUGAGUUUGACUCCAGGCCGAGGUA
rnacentral:tRNA from 1 species